rnacentral:rRNA from 1 species
AGUGAACGCUGGCGGUAGGCCUAACACAUGCAAGUCGAACGGCAGCACAGGAGAGCUUGCUCUCUGGGUGGCGAGUGGCGGACGGGUGAGGAAUACAUCGGAAUCUGCCCAGUCGUGGGGGAUAACGUAGGGAAACUUACGCUAAUACCGCAUACGACCUUCGGGUGAAAGAGGGGGAUCGCAAGACCUCUCGCGAUUGGAUGAGCCGAUGUCGGAUUAGCUAGUUGGCGGGGUAAUGGCCCACCAAGGCGACGAUCCGUAGCUGGUCUGAGAGGAUGAUCAGCCACACUGGAACUGAGACACGGUCCAGACUCCUACGGGAGGCAGCAGUGGGGAAUAUUGGACAAUGGGCGCAAGCCUGAUCCAGCCAUACCGCGUGGGUGAAGAAGGCCUUCGGGUUGUAAAGCCCUUUUGUUGGGAAAGAAAUCUUCAGGCUAAUACCCUGGGAGGAUGACGGUACCCAAAGAAUAAGCACCGGCUAACUUCGUG